GCACCUUGGGACGUGAGGCAGGAAGCAGUCCGGGGAGCCUGGGAGUCCAGCAUCUGGCAUGUGGCACACAGCGUCAUGCAGCCCUGCACCGCCCUGAGAGAGAGGAACCCACCCACGGCAUACUAGCAUACUGCUGGAGUCUGGACGUUCGACACCCUGCCUGCCCCAAUCUCAUGGGUUAAAGGCUUGGUCCCAUGGUGGCACUACUUUGAGGAGCAGUAUCUUUAGCAGAUGAAGCCUUAGGUCACUGAACACGUGAUCCAAGUGGGGCUGUGGCACUCAGACACUUCCUCCUCUUCUUUUGAUUUUGUGGCUUACUUUACGCAGUGUUAUGAUCUGCUGUAUGCUCCCACCAUGACUCGGGCGAUGGACCAACUGAUCAUGGACUGGGGCAAAGUUGUGAGCCAAGGCUACAUUCCUGGAAGCACGUGACUCAAACACACGGACAUGUUCCUCUGCCAAGCCCUCUCUGGUGUGAGGGAGAGGUAGCAGAAGUUUUGCAUCCCUAAGUCUGUAUGUAUUUAAUAACUGGUGUAGUUAAAUACCAUGUGUGUCAAUCCUGAGGCUGGACUUACGUAGUUGGGGGCCAGGUCUGGGUGAUUCCUUUCUAUGCCGUCAUCGAGGAUGGUGACGACCACAUUCUUUCCUGUGUAGCCACGCUUCCACGCCGCCUGGACGUUCAUCUCUGACCGACAGCGACUGUUCUUAUCAGUACAAUGCUGCAAGCAAGCACAGAGGACAUGAAGCCCAGGACAGACACCAACCCAGACACUCCUGAUGCCAACAGGGCACAGCAUGGCCACCCAGACAGGGACGGCUGUGUUAGGAAGCAAUGAAGAAUGGUGGGCUCCACCUUAGGAAAGCCUUUCUUAUACAUGGAAGAUCCCUGGUCUUCUCUGCAUCCGACAAGGUUGGAGCCUAAGAGACACCUGGAUACUCUAAGAAGGCCAGAAAUAUGCUCAUGUCCUGAAGCCAAGUAAGAGCUUCAUCUCUCCCAUCAGACAGAAUCUCCACCCAUGCGCAGAAGGGUCCUUUCACUGAGGCGUGUUCAUGGACUGUCAUUAUGUAUGUACAUGGCCAUGUGACUUACAGCAAAGGACCAGAUCACUGAGGUCUCUAACAUAUCACUCAUGGAACUGAUGCUUCUGUAGAACUUGAAUGCAACUGGUAAGAGUCAAGGGUGGGCAACUUGUC